rnacentral:lncRNA from 1 species
AGCUGCGACACCGAGGUGAAGGCGCUGCCUCGCGCGGGGCUCCCGCCCUCCAGCCGUCCGGGCAGAGCGCCUCCCGGACGCGGGGCCAGCAGCUUUUCGGGGGCCCCUGGCGACCCAGCCGCGGGGGUGGACGAGCCGUUGCUGCCGCCGCCGGCGACACCGCCUCCCGCGUCGGGGUCCUCGGCCGGGCCCCCUGCGCCGUCUGUCGCCGCCGCCUCCUCCUGCAAGCCCACCGCGCGGCCCGCCUUCUUCACCUCCACGAAGGCGCUGCGCUUCGCCUCGCCGGUCUCCGGGCUGGGCGGCGCGAAAAGCCGGCCGUUCUCCUCCAGGCCGAAGUAGCUGCCGGCGGCGCGGUACUGCUGCGGCGUGCACACCAACUCCUCCUUGGAGGUCGCCAGCGGUCUCUCGGAGAAGCGCGCACGGCCGCCCGCCAGCCCCGCGCCGCCGCCCUCCGCGGCGGUCUCCUCCGGGAACCGCCUCUUGCCUUUGCAGCCGCCGGUGGGCACGCCGUCGGAACUCAGCUCCGCCUCCUGGUGGCCGCUGCCGCCACCGCCGACGCCCGGGGCUGCUGCGCAACUACUGCUUCCCCUGGAGUUUUCCAGUUCCCGAGCCAGGUUGUGGAAGUCCGUGGAUGGCUUGGCGCUACCGGCACCCGCGGAGCCCGGCGGGUUGCUCGCCUCCGGGGAUGACGUGGGGUAGUGGUGUAUGGGGCCGGCUUUGCAGAACUUGGGGCCCGGGAUCAAAGGCGCCUCCUGUUGCUGCUGCUGUUGCUGCUGCUGUUGCUCUUUAGCACCACCACCGCCGCCGUGGUCCUUAGUGCCCACGCUGCCCCCUCGCUCGUCUUGGGGAUUCGCAUCAGUGCUGUGAAGUCUCUUGGGGCAGCGGAAUCGCAGAUGUGCCACAUAGGGGAACUCAAACUGGAAACGUUGGCUGCAUUCCAGGCAUGUGUAAGGAGACGACCCUGCUUAGUGAGCAAACACACACACACACACACACACACACACACACACACACACACACACACACACACGGUUAGUUAGCAUCGUCCCUAGGCCACUUAGCCAUCCUCCCCAUAACAAAUCCACUUUAUCUUUCCGGGCUGAGUGCCCCCCCCCAAAGAAUACACUAUCUUAUUUGGCGCAACUUUCUUUCUUGAUUUGUGCAUUUACCAAGUCAAACGCUCCCCCAACUUUCCCUUCCCCUUCUGUCCUAGUUCCAUUUGGGACAACACCUCAGAAGCUUCGUCUACCCUAUGAUGUGCCUAAGAUAAGCAAGGUGAGCCCAGGCACCCGAGCCAACUUACCGUUCAUUUUGUGAGCUCUAGACGGGCAGAGCAAGAGCAACUCAGUCAGUUCUUUCCCGUACCAAACUAGUAACUCUUCAUCUUUGGCAAUCCUGCGGAGAGAGCGGUAGAACAGCUGUCCGUUUUUUAUAUAAGCUUCGAGAUUCUGCUCUUCCUUAUCUCGGGCUGAUUGGACCAGCCGCAGCCACAUGAGACCUUCUGAGGAACCAUUUGCCGCGGAAGUGUCUACCUACAGUAUUUAAGAAAAACAAGAAGGGGGGAUCCACAUGAAAGACAGAAACCAAAGGAACCAGGGAUAUUUCUUCUGUUUGGCUUUUGUUCUUUCCAAACAAAUAUCUGAAACCAAGUUUGCAAAAGUUGACCAAAGUCGGACUGCAUCCCUGCGUUUGUGGUCAAUGGGCACAAUGGCCAUCCUUUGCAAUAUUGAGUCAGUCUUAUAGCCUCUUUAGGAUUUCCUUUUCAGUUACCUCACAUGACAAAAGGAGAGGAAAUUUCCUGUGUUUCAGAAGUAAAAGGAAAUGACCCUCAGAUACCUCCAUCACACUUGCUGAGACUCACCCGGAAGAUGUAAGGUACUGUUCUCUUGUCUGUGGACUUGAGGGCUACGAAGGCUAUGCUGUCAUACAGGGAAGUAUGGCUCAGAACACAGGGGCCGAAUAUGGCAUUCUCUGGGAUGUCGCAGGUUGUAUAUACACUGGUAAAAAUGUCUGUCAGACACUGUUGGACAGCCUUGGCAUCUCCAUCCCAGACGCCUCUCUGGAUGCCCGAAUCCUCCAUCACUGGAGACAGAUAGAUACCCAGGACGAGAAGAGAGUUGUUAUUGCCUUUUCUGCUACAAACCUCGGCAAAGCGUUUCCGCUACCAGACAUAUUUUCUUUGCACUUGCUGACUUUUUUACAUAGCUCCUACUUUAAAAAUAAAGCAGAUCAAUCUGGCAUGUUUUAAAGAUGC